rnacentral:rRNA from 1 species
CACGUAGGGGGCAAGCGUUGUCCGGAUUUAUUGGGCGUAAAGAGCUCGUAGGCGGUUUCGUAAGUCGGAUGUGAAAACUCCAGGCUCAACUUGGAGACGCCAUUCGAUACUGCGAUGACUUGAGUCCGGUAGGGGAGUGUGGAAUUCCUGGUGUAGCGGUGAAAUGCGCAGAUAUCAGGAAGAACACCCGUGGCGAAGGCGGUUCUCUGGGACGGUACUGACGCUGAGACGCGAAAGCGUGGGGAGCGAACAGG